UACGAAGGGUGCAAGCGUUAAUCGGAAUUACUGGGCGUAAAGGGUGCGUAGGCGGUUCGUUAAGUCUGUCGUGAAAUCCCCGGGCUCAACCUGGGAAUGGCGAUGGAUACUGGCGAGCUAGAGUGUGUCAGAGGAUGGUGGAAUUCCCGGUGUAGCGGUGAAAUGCGUAGAGAUCGGGAGGAACAUCAGUGGCGAAGGCGGCCAUCUGGGAAGAUACUGACGCUGAGGUGCGAAAGCGUGGGGAGCAAACAGG
rnacentral:rRNA from 1 species